CUUUGAUUCACUUUAAUCCUCAAAUGGUAUUAGCCUCAUUUUGCAGUUUGAGAAAAUAGGCUCAGAGAUGUUAAAGUGACAGGCCCAGAAUUUGGAAUGCAUGUCUUCUGGUGACAAAUUUCUGUUUAUUUUACUACCACAUGGCUUUUUUUAAGCCAGCCUGCGUUUUCCAGUGGGGAGGUUACUAGGGGGAGGUUAAGUCUUUGACUCAAGUGAACAUCACCUGUAGUAUCCACCUGAUGCCACCAGGGUGUCCCAUGGUGCUAUCUUUCAUCCAACAUCUUAGCCAGGUUGCUGGGGGCUGCUUCAAAGAGUUAAUCUAGUAAUAGUGGCCAUGGCCCAGGGCCCAGCAGCAAGAAAGUGGGAUGUUUAGUUCCCUGGCUUUCCAGUGUGUAGUGUACAGCCAGCAUCGGAGAAGCCCUUGCCCUCUUUUGACCCCUACUAGUCAGUCUGGCCCCACAGAAGGAGAGCAUAUCAUAACAGUGGCCAGGGCCUGGCUAGCCACUCUAACUAGGCAGCAGCCUCACAAAGGACAGUGCAUAGAAAAGACCCUAUGAAUGCAUAAAUGUCUACAAAUGUGCAUUUAUUUUGGUAGCUGAGUACACGCUUACACAAAUUUGUGUUAGUAAAAUAGAUCCACAACACAAAACCAGAUUGAAUUGCUUUACCAUUCUAGGUAGAUGAGUUUUAAAAGCCAGUGUGUAGUGACUUCACACUUUUCCAGUUUACAAUAAAAGCCUGCAUUUCCACUUAGCCCUGAGUAUACAGCCUCUUCGGCAACAGUUUUGAUAAUCAGCAACCCUAGAUGACAAUCUUUGGUGUCAAAGCUAUCACUUAUGUGAGAACCAAUGAGGUGAAGUCUCAUUUUUAGUAUUAAAGAGAGCAAAUAUUCCCUUUAAAAAUGUGCUUCCUUCCCAGUGCUCUUUAAGUGCUUUGUACAAAUGUCUAACUGGUCUAUAAUUAUUUCAAGUUUUGAUUUCACCACUGGAGGAGAUCCUUAAAAGUAUCCCCAGUGACUGAGACGGUUCCUGGCAUUUAAUAGGUGAUCAAAAAAUAUUUGUUUCUUGAGAUAGCAAAGCCUCCAUAAUAGUUACGGGAUAGUGCUACACGUGAGCCACUGUUCUAAGGAGAAAGUUCACAUUAGGGAGGUCUUUGUUUUGUCUUCAAGCUGAUUAGAAUCCAUUGUGAACUGCAAAGUUAGUCCCUGGAGUGUCCUUGCCGGCCUUGCAAAAUCUUGACUGUGUCAUUCUAGGUUGGAAUUGGCACAGCCUGAAUUUGAGGCUGGAGCAGAGCUGAUUCUCUAGGUAUCACCCUUGCAGUAUUUCUAGGACCAGGUUUUUACCAGGGCUUUUAGAACCACCAGGAGAGACUUACUAAAUUAAAGUAAACGUUACUGAUUGGAGAUGUUGGACUUGUGGUGCCCUUUUCCCUCUCCUCUCCCUGUUUUCCUAGGUGAGUUUGCUCCCAAAAUUCCUGUGGUUUUUAAGGAGAUCACUGGAAUAAGUCCCAAACCCACUUCUAGUAGUCAAGCUUCCUUUUCAGUUUUCUCAACUCUUCUCUGGUGAGACAGCUAAUCAGAGAUUAUAGUACCAACUCGGACCCUUCCAUAUGCUUUGCGUAAGUAGUCAGAGUAACUGCCUCAGCUAACUAAACUUGUGUAUAGAACAUAUAUGAGGGCUUCCUCAGGCUUCAUGAGUUUGGGUAAAGGUACUAUGUAGAAGACUGGAUGAAUUACGGUAGGAAUAAAAGUUAGCACUUCCAAUGUUAACAAAAAAGUCCUCUUGUGCCUCAGAAGCAUCACUGAGAGACUUUUUUUUGUCCCAUAUUAUAAAUCUAGUUUUAAUAAGUAUGAAGAUAGUCUUUCAUAUACGAGGAAUAAGUUUAUUAUGCUUCUCCCAUCUAAAGUGAAAACUGCUAAAAGGCAGAAAUAAUGUAUAUCCCAACCCCAGAAUACCUGUUUCUGGGAUUACCUUAUACCUGCUACUCAGGAAACGUUUUCACUGGCUUGGUCUGACUACUUGCCAUCUGCUCUCUGAGCAUUCACUGCUGAAUGAAAGGGGAGAGAAAGUGAAAGGAGAGGUGGUGGGGAAGAGGAAGCUGAAAAAAUAAGAGGAAACAGCUGGGAGCUGAGGAGGUGGGGGACUUAUGUAAGGUCAGUAAAAAAAAGCUAGCAGAGGACAGGGUCAGGCCUUGCGGGUAGAGGGCUAAUUAACUUCUGUCAAAUAGUUGAGUAGAGCCUUGUGUGUUUUGUUAAAGAGGCUAAAGUUACUUGGAAGGAAAAAUCUAGAUUUUCUGAAUCUGACCCAUCUUCCCUGUGUGCCAUAGUAAAUUGUUCAUCAAGUCAAAAUCUAUCCUGCCCUCUAGGAAUUCUGGUCUUCUUUCUUCACGUCUAGCAGAGAACUUGCUGCCACUGCUUGGGCAACCAAGAGUGAAAUGUGUGAAGUAGUGGUUGUGGAUGGCAGGCUAAUGCAAGGGAGAAGAAGAAGUACCGACUGAGAAAGAGACAGCCAUAAAAUCUGCGUGUAUUAAUAUGCUAACUGUUUGGAGACUUCUGAGAAACAGUAUCCUUCCUGAACUCUGGACUAUCCUCAAAUCUGAUAAGGAAACUGAGACUGAGAUGAGGAUUUAGGCACACUGUAUUUUUUGCCGACACCAAACAUUUCAGUUAUUCAUCAUAUCUGAAGGUAACACCAUUGAUUCACUUAUUGAAAGUUGUUUACAAUGAUCAAGAUGAAUUUACUGUCUUUAAACAUGCCUGGUCUUUUGGUGGUACCCUAACACGGUCUAUGGAAGCUGGCUUGACGAGGGGCUCAUUUUGUUUGUGGUCAAGGACAUUGUCUGUCCUAAGGGUGGAAAUGCCCCUUCUAGGGUUGGAGUCUUUGAUCUUCCUGGUUUCAUUAUAUUCCUCAAACUGUUGGAGCUGAUUGUUUUUGAGUGCUUGUUCCAAACUUGGUUAUUUUCUAUAGGGAAAACAUCCUAAGGUUUAAAAUUUUAUCUGAAUUUAAAAGGUUGUUAACUUUUCUUUUUAAUGGAGGCUUUGGGGAACAACUGGGAAUUCUGGUGUCCUCUCAUGGAUAGAGGUAAAAUUAGCCAUUUUCCUCCAAAAAAGUGUACUUCUGAAUCCCAGCUCUUCAGUAAUAAGAACUAGACUGUUUUCACUUGACCUCCACUUCCUGUUAGUGGGGAAAGCCCUCUCCAGAGGUCCUGUGAGAAAGAUUGCUGGAGAAGAGUUUCUAGAUCCUGGGAUAAGAAGCUCAAGAGAGUCUAGCAAUAUUGUCAUUAGAAUAAGGGUCUUCAUUAAGUAGUAGUUUUCAUAAUUCUGAAGCUUCAUUUUCACAUAGUUUGAAAGGCAGCAAAGUAGGAGAGACUGUACAAGGGAGAAGGAAAACUAGGAGAGAAAUUACAGAGACCUUGAACUGAAUGUGUUAAUGCAGGAAAGAAGCAGAGACUUGUAUUCAUGGAAUAAAAAUGAAACAAUGUGCAAUGUCCAAGGUCAGAGCAAAAAGGUUUGAGUUUACUAGUUAAUUCCUUAGGUUUACAUCUUAGUUCCCUCCUUAUCUUGUAUGUAUGUAUGAACUUAGGCUUCCACAACCAUUUUAUUUUUCUUUCCAAAACAGACUAAUGGCCAUUUAUAGGAGACAUAGGGGCCACUGUAGCAGUUUAGCUGAGGAAUGUAUCAGAAACUAUUUAUCAUUUUCUGUCCCCUCCUGUCAUAGGCUAUUUCCCUGAUGUGUUUACCUGCUUCUGCCACUGAUCCAAAUUGCAGAACUUCUCAUUCGUCCUAAGACCUCCAGACGGCAUCCACCAGGGAACUGACUCUAAAAGGAACCAGACCAACAUUUUCCAGCCCCUUCACUCUGGUGACUGAGGGAAAGGAGUGAGAUGGGGUAUACGUGGGUAGUGGAUGGAAAGGAAACAUAGACUGUCAAAUUACUUUACCUCUUCAGUUUCUUUUACUAAUAGAAUCCUGCAACCACAUUAUUUUUAUUGUGUAUAUAUGGGAGAAGUUGGAGAUGGUGACCUUGAUUAGAACGUGGCUCAAGAGGAAUAAAUGGAGGGGAUGAGAUAAGAGACAAUUGGUUAUGAAAGAUGUUAAAGUCUUGAAAUAAUGUGACCAUCUGAAGAAUUUUUUUAAACCAGAGUUUAUAAAAAUAUCACUGAUACAGCCUGCCCCCUCAUUUCCUGCCCAAGGAGACUUCUUGGACUGGAGACACUUGUUUAAUAAUAGCUUGUCUCUGAUAUUUCCAGUAGCUACCUCUAUGUGAGGAAAGGAGAGAAAACGUUCAGGACAUCGUCAUGCAAAGUUCCAGUAGCAGUGACGCCUACACGGAAGACUUGGAACUGCAGAGGCUGGGGUCACCUCAGUGACAUCUGAUGCUGUCCAACCAGAAGUUCGAUUUUUGUUUUGGGGUGGUGGGGUGAGGAAGCACACUGUAUACUGAAGGACUAAAAUAAUUUCUUGUCUACAAUUUCGAAAGCACUUGUUUUAAUUUCUUUGGCGGGAGAGGGGGUGUUCGGGUAGAAUUGCACGUCAUAUCUGGAGUUAAGGGGAGGAUGG
rnacentral:lncRNA from 1 species